CAACGAAAAUGCAGCCCUGGAGGCGGCGAGAAGUGUCCUUCGGGCAGGACUAGUGGGGACUCCCGCGGGGGUCACCCCAGAAGGGAAGCCUCGAUCUUCUCACGUGCUGACUCUCAGCCUCACUUUCCCACUCACCUUCCCAAGUAGGGAUCCCCUAGAACGCGACCCGGCCCGCCUGCGGGAAUGGAAGGGCGGGGUAAGGAGAAUGCUCGGCGCCUGCGCACUAGCCCGAAGCCGCGGAUCGGCCCGUCGAGAGCGACGGUAGAGGGCCUGGCGCGUGCCUGCGAAAAGGCGGGAGACGGAAGGGGCUCGAGGCUCGCGCAUGCGCACACAGUCAACUGCGGACGGAGCGUCGGAGGAGAGGUUACCGCGUUGGUGUGUGGAACGCCUCCCUUGAGACUGGGUUCUGGAGCCUACUGAAAUAGCUCUUUAUCCUCAGCGCCAGAAAAAAAAGACCUCAAACCCUCCCUUUCCGUCCUGCCCCUCCUCUCAGCUGAGGCCACCAUUGCCGGCCCUUCCGGAGCCCCUCAGCUUCUGGACUGGGGCUGCCUUGCCUCCCCUCAGGCUGCUUCAACAACUAGCCCCUCAUUCCAUGGACGAGACUUUGCGUGCCCCCUUCGGCCCGAGCGCUGUGGAGCUGGAGCCUGCCCUCCCCCAGGGGCACCAUGGCCUGCGUCAGAGGGGGAAGCAGCGCUGGCGGCUUAGCGGAGUCCCGGGCCCGGCCCGCUCCGAUACUGCUCCCCGCAACUCUCCCUUCGUCCAGCUUCAGCCUUGCCCGAGACUUCGGCAGACCCCGCAGCCCCUCUCCCACGCCACCCUUCCUGAGAACACAACCCCCAGGCCACCGAGCCUGGCUGGACUGGAGGCGGCCUGGCAGGGGAACAAGUGCCUCCCUGCCCGCCCGGGGCGACCUGGAGAGCUCAAGGAUCCCCGAGGCCCGAUGUUCCCCCUAGUGGGGAUGGAAACGCCGUGAGGAUGAGGAAACUGAGGCACAGAGAGAGCAAAUGAAAUGCCCAAGUUCACAAAGAUUUUAUUUAUUUGAGAGCAAGAUGGCGGAGGAGUAGGAGACC